GCUCAUCGUCGACCGGAUCGUCGAACCGAGAUGCUGCGACACGUCCACCGCUCGAUGUCAUCGUUCGUGAUUCGAGACUUGACGGUAUCGCCGUCUUUGAAUCUUUUUAAAUGGACGAGGAGCAUCAUCGAGGAAUCCUUGCAACAUAUUAAUUAAGAGGGAAACGCUAUGCGACACAAUAAGACGGAAAUCUGCUGGAAGGAAGACGCCGUGGACGGAAGGCAAGAGGGAGAGUUUAUCUCGGAAAUAAAAGUACGAAUAAAUAAAACGGGGAACGAAUGCACGAAUGUUCGUACAUUAGCCUUCGCGAGAAUGCAUGUAAGGAUACAUUCCCUUGGAUGCAUCCUUCGAUCAAGCAUAUGUAGAAAGAUUCUUCGAUACAGACAUCGAGCGUACAGAAGUAGAAGUGUAUCGAUAUGUACUAAUAUUGAUGUUCUUUCUCGAGUGGUGAUACUUUAUUUGCUAUUGCUGGCGAUUCUUUUAUUAUCAUAAAGUUCCAAUUUUUAAACAAAAGUUCUUGUAAUCUAUAGUCAUAUUUUACUUAACUUCUAAUUAUUAAUCUAAAUUUUUUUAACUAUAUUGAAGUGUUAGAAAAAUUGUUAUCGAUUUUUAAAUUUG